rnacentral:rRNA from 1 species
AUUGAACGCUGGCGGCAGGCCUAACACAUGCAAGUCGAGCGAGCGGCGGACGGGUGAGUAAUGUAUGGGGAACUGCCCGAUGGAGGGGGAUAACUACUGGAAACGGUAGCUAAUACCGCAUACUAUCGGAUGAACCCAGAUGGGAUUAGCUCGUAGGUGGGGUAAAGGCUCACCUAGGCAACGCUCCCUAGCUGGUCUGAGAGGAUGACCAGCCACAUUGGAACUGAGACACGGCCCAGACUCCUACGGGAGGCAGCAGUGGGGAAUAUUGCACAAUGGGCGCAAGCCUGAUGCAGCCAUGCCGCGUGUAUGAAGAAGGCCUUCGGGUUGUAAAGUACUUUCAGCGAGGAGGCGUUACCCGCAGAAGAAGCACCGGCUAACUCCGUGCCAGCAGCCGCGGUAAUAC